UACAGAGGUCCCAAGCGUUGUUCGGAUUCACUGGGCGUAAAGGGUGCGUAGGUGGUGGGGUAAGUCGGAUGUGAAAGCUCGGAGCUCAACUCCGAAAUGGCAUUGGAAACUACCCUGCUAGAGGAUUGGAGGGGGGACUGGAAUACUUGGUGUAGCAGUGAAAUGCGUAGAGAUCAAGAGGAACACUCGUGGCGAAAGCGAGCUACUGGACAAUUCCUGACGCUGAGGCUCGAAGGCUAGGGUAGCGAGAGGG
rnacentral:rRNA from 1 species